AUCACUCCAGAUCUUUCAGGCAAUAGUUCAGACAUACAAUGAAAUACUUACAAAUUCUCUGUCUUCUAAUCGUAUCUCUCCUCGUAAUAACUCCAGCAUUUGGUGAACUGCCUCAUAUAUUCAAGAAGUCAUCGCUUAUGUUUCACCCAUGGUUUGAAAAAAGUGAAGAUGGUAACAUCAAAGGUACCCUCGAUUUAGAGCAUAAAGGACCUCAUCAUAAUUUCGAAGCAUAUUGGAAUAAGGUGCUCAAAGGACCAAAUAAAGGUAAUUCCACCUGGCAUAUUGGUGGUACUUGGAAGUUAAAGAGAUCUCUUAAACAGCCUUGGGAACAAAUUGAAAGAAACAGUGACUAUACUAACCAAUAAUAUGAUAUAUCUGUAUUACAGCAUAUACUUCAGCUUGUCAUUAAAUGAAUUACUUAGUGUAUUUCCUUGUAGUGUAAAAAUAAUAAAUGUUGUAACUGCAUGAAA